GGCUGUAGCUCAGCUGGAUAGAGUGUUUGGCUACGAACCAAAAGGUCGGGGGUUCGAAUCCCUCCAGCC
rnacentral:tRNA from 1 species